rnacentral:rRNA from 1 species
UACGGGGGGAGCAAGCGUUGUUCGGAUUUACUGGGCGUAAAGGGCGCGUAGGCGGCGUGACAAGUCACUUGUGAAAUCUCCGGGCUUAACUCGGAACGGUCAAGUGAUACUGUCGUGCUAGAGUACAGAAGGGGCAACUGGAAUUCUCGGUGUAGCGGUGAAAUGCGUAGAUAUGCGGAGGAACACCGAUGGCGAAAGGGCAAUCCCCUGGGCCUGCACUGACGCUCAUGCACGAAAGCGUGGGGAGCAAACAGG